rfam:Bacteroidales bacterium Barb4 Barb4_contig_1690, whole genome shotgun sequence.
ACUGACGUGGAUAGAUUUGAAAUGCUUGCAACCACGGGAAAAAAAUGCUAAAACAGUCCUC